rnacentral:rRNA from 1 species
AACGAACGCUGGCGGCAGGCUUAACACAUGCAAGUCGAGCGCCCUGCAAGGGGAGCGGCAGACGGGUGAGUAACGCGUGGGAAUCUACCCAUCUCUACGGAAUAACGCAUGGAAACGUGUGCUAAUACCGUAUACGUCCUUCGGGCGAAAGAUUUAUCGGAGAUGGAUGAGCCCGCGUUGGAUUAGCUAGUUGGUGGGGUAAAGGCCUACCAAGGCGACGAUCCAUAGCUGGUCUGAGAGGAUGAUCAGCCACACUGGGACUGAGACACGGCCCAGACCCCUACGGGAGGCAGCAGUGGGGAAUAUUGGACAAUGGGCGCAAGCCUGAUCCAGCCAUGCCGCGUGAGUGAUGAAGGCCCUAGGGUUGUAAAGCUCUUUCACCGGUGAAGAUAAUGACGGUAACCGGAGAAGAAGCCCCGGCUAACUUCGUGCCAGCAGCCGCGGUAAUAC